UACAGAGGGGGCAAGCGUUAUUCGGAAUUAUUGGGCGUAAAGGGCGCGUAGGCGGCUUUGCAAGUGACGGGUGAAAUCCCUCGGCUUAACCGAGGAACUGCCCUCCAAACUGUUUGGCUUGAGACCGGGAGAGGUGAGUGGAAUUCCCAGUGUAGCGGUGAAAUGCGCAGAUAUCAGGAGGAACACCGGUGGCGAAGGCGGGUCUCUGGGCCGAUACUGACGCUGAGGAGCGAAAGCGUGGGGAGCGAACAGG
rnacentral:rRNA from 1 species